GUGCACGCUGGCGGUAGGCCUAACACAUGCCAGUCGCACGGCAGCACAGUAAGAGCUUGCUCUUACGGGUGGCGAGUGGCGGACGGGUGAGGAAUACAUCGGAAUCUACUUUUUCGUGGGGGAUAACGUAGGGAAACUUACGCUAAUACCGCAUACGACCUACGGGUGAAAGCAGGGGAUCUUCGGACCUUGCGCGAUUGAAUGAGCCGAUGUCGGAUUAGCUAGUUGGCGGGGUAAAGGCCCACCAAGGCGACGAUCCGUAGCUGGUCUGAGAGGAUGAUCAGCCACACUGGAACUGAGACACGGUCCAGACUCCUACGGGAGGCAGCAGUGGGGAAUAUUGGACAGUGGGCGCAAGCCUGAUCCAGCCAUACCGCGUGGGUGAAGAAGGCCUUCGGGUUGUAAAGCCCUUUUGUUGGGAAAGAAAAGCAGCAGGUUAAUACCCCGCUGUUCUGACGGUACCCAAAGAAUAAGCACCGGCUAACUUCGU
rnacentral:rRNA from 1 species